rnacentral:rRNA from 1 species
CACGUAGUUAGCCGGAGCUUCCUCCUCUGCUACCGUCAUUAUCUUCACAGAGGACAGAGGUUUACAAUCCGAAAACCGUCUUCCCUCACGCGGCAUUGCUGGUUCAGGGUUUCCCCCAUUGACCAAUAUCCCUCACUGCUGCCUCCCGUAGGAGUCUGGGCCGUGUCUCAGUCCCAAUGUGGCCGUUCAACCUCUCAGUCCGGCUACCGAUCGUCGACUUGGUGGGCCGUUACCCCCCAACUAUCUAAUCGGACGCGAGCCCAUCUUUCAGCGGAUUGCUCCUUUGACCCCUCUCCCAUGUGGAAGUGUGGUCUUAUGCGGUAUUAGCGUUCGUUUCCAAACGUUAUCCCCCUCUGAAAGGCAGGUUGCUCACGCGUUACUCACCCGUCCGCCACUAAGCUAUACAAGAACUUCCUUCAGCAAGCUGCUCUCCGUUCAGCGCAUAGCUCCGUUCGACUUUGCAUGUGUUAGGCACGCCGCCAGCGUUCGUCCUGACGCCAGGAUCGAAACU